AUUGAACGCUGGCGGCAGGCCUAACACAUGCAAGUCGAACGAGUGGCGGACGGGUGAGUAAUGUCUGAGAAACUGCCCGAUGGAGGGGGAUAACUACUGGAAACGGUAGCUAAUACCGCAUACCAUCGGAUGAGCCCAGAUGGGAUUAGCUAGUAGUUGGGGUACCGGCUAACCAAGGCGACGAUCCCUAGCUGGUCUGAGAGGAUGACCGGCCACACGGGAACUGGUACACGGUCCGGACUCCUACGGGAGGCAGCAGUGGGGAAUAGUGGACAAUGGGCGCAAGCCUGAGGCAGCCAGGCCGCGUGUAUGAAGAAGGCCUUCGGGUUGUAAAGUACUUUCAGCGAGGAGGCGUUACCCGCAGAAGAAGCACCGGCUAACUCCGUGCCAGCAGCCGCGGUAAUUC
rnacentral:rRNA from 1 species